rnacentral:lncRNA from 1 species
AGGAGGUGUGGGGCUAGUUUCUAUAUGAAUUUGAGACCUCAAAUCUUCCUAAAGAGAUUGGAAUCAAAUUCCUAAUUUUUAGGGACUGCAUGGCGCAUCAAACAGGGUGGCGUGCGACUAAAGUUUGGGGCGCAUGAACCCCCUGAUUUUUGGGGAUUCAUGGUGCAAAAUUAAAGAGGAUUUGUUCACCUCUUAGCUGCCGAUUCACCAAAA